UAAUCUUGAAUUACAGUGGCUACAGAGGAGAACUUUUAAUCUAGAUAAGUUUAUCCAUUUAUGAGGUGUCCUAGAGAAAAAGGGGCCUCAGCCAGGCACUCACUGUAAAGGGUGAGGGAAAUUUCUCUCUCCUUCUCUGCAGUGUCUGGUGACCAGGAAGACACCCCCUGGGACACCCAGCUCACCCCAGCGCCUGCAGACGGGAUCCUGGGAAAACUGGAGAAGCCGGUGAAGGACGCUUUUGCAAAAUUGAGACUCACAGAAAGGACCCUAUCGAGGACUCUUGACCACUGACACCGCUGCCAAAUUACAAGGUGUUGAACCUCGGGCAUUUCACAGCUGAAAAAGACUCUGCCGGGCAUCUGGGCCCCUGCAAACGCUGGAGACCUCAAAUCAAACCGACCGGGAAGAGGAGCAGCUGACAUCAAGAACUGGAACCUGAAACUGUCAACCGGGAGGCGCGUGAUCAGCACCAGGACAGUGAUCUGCCUGACCCCUGCAGUCCCCUACAGGAAAGUGACCUGGCCGUGACCAACCUUUCUGCCAAAUCAGGCCAGCUGACCUGUGCAUCGGCUGGAAGGACGGAGCUCACCUCCCACCGGAACCAGGUCAUUGCUCACAGAAGCAGCUGCAGAUCCAGGCCAGCUCAGCACGGGCCAGUGUGGAGGAGGAGGAGUCGUCCUGAUGGCGGCAAAGCCUGCUGACCAGCAAGUGGGCGUUGACUCUGCUGAGGUGAGGGA